UACGGGAGGCAGCAGUGGGGANUUCCCCCGCAAUGGGGGAAAAANUGACGCAGCCAUGCCGCGUGAAUGAUGAAGGUCUUAGGAUUGUAAAAUUCUUUCACCGGGGACGNUNNNCCCGGUACCCGGAGAAGAAGCCCCGGCUAACUUCGUGCCAGCAGCCGCGGUAAUACGAAGGGGGCUAGCGUUGCUCGGAAUUACUGGGCGUAAAGGGCGCGUAGGCGGACAUUUAAGUCAGGGGUGAAAUCCCAGAGCUCAACUCUGGAACUGCCUUUGAUACUGGGUGUCUUGAGUGUGAGAGAGGUAUGUGGAACUCCGAGUGUAGAGGUGAAAUUCGUAGAUAUUCGGAAGAACACCAGUGGCGAAGGCGACAUACUGGCUCAUUACUGACGCUGAGGCGCGAAAGCGUGGGGAGCAAACAGGAUUAGAUACCCUGGUAGUCCACGUNNUNNNGAUGAUUGCUAGUUGUCGGGCUGCAUGCA
rnacentral:rRNA from 1 species